CUAACACUGGUCAGCAGACAGCACGCAGCUCACAGGGACCCUCACCAAGAGGAGGACCAUGCAGGUGGGGAACGUGGUGAAUGAUGCGGGGGAUGUUCUGGAGUUCAGGGACCAGGUCACCAAAGCCUCUCCGGCCCACGGUCACCUAGUGGUCACCACCUCUCUCCAGUGCUACGCCUCCAGUGCUAAGAACUGGAACACACCUCUCAUUUUUGACCUGAAGGAGGGGACCGUUAGCCUCAUUAUAUAGACUGAGAAACACUUCCUGUUAGUGGAUGGGACGGGGGUCUAUGUGUUCUCCUACGAGCGCCGUCUCAUCUCCACGCCCAAAUUCCCCGGCAUGAGAACGGACAUCCUCAAUGCCCAGUCAGUCUCCCUUAGCAACGCCACCAUCGCCAUCCGGGACAAGAGCGAUGAGAAGGAUGGAGGUGGUGGAGAUAGCUCUGGACCAGUGUGGCCCGUCCAGCGAGAGGAAGAUCGCAGUCAUAGACAAGAACCGUGACCUGUACCUGACCGCUGUGCAUCGCAUCAACAGAGAACACAACAUCUGCAAGAUAGGUCCACACCAUGUCCUAGAAUGACUCCG